rnacentral:misc_RNA from 1 species
GAUGAAGAACGUAGCGAAAUGCGAUAAGUAGUGUGAAUUGCAGAAUUCAGUGAAUCAUCGAAUCUUUGAACGCACAUUGCGCCCUUUGGUAUUCCAAAGGGCAUGCCUGUUCGAGCGUCAUUUGUACCCUCAAGCUUUGCUUGGUGUUGGGCGUCUUGUCUCUAGCUUUUCUGGAGACUCGCCUUAAAGUAAUUGGCAGCCGGCCUACUGGUUUCGGAGCGCAGCACAAGUCGCACUCUCUAUCAGCAAAGGUCUAGCAUCCAUUAAGCCUUUUUUUCAACUUUUGACCUCGGAUCAGGUAGGGAUAUCCGCUGAACUUAAGCAUAUCAAUAAGCGGAGGA